rnacentral:rRNA from 1 species
UACGUAGGGGGCAAGCGUUGUUCGGAAUUAUUGGGCGUAAAGAGCUUGUAGGCGGUUUGUCGCGUCUGCUGUGAAAUUUCGGGGCUCAACCCCGGGCCUGCAGUCGAUACGGGCGAGCUAGAGUUCGGCAGGGGAGACUGGAAUUCCUGGUGUAGCGGUGAAAAUGCGCAGAUAUCAGGAGGAACACCGGUGGCGAAGGCGGGUCUCUGGGCCGAUACUGACGCUGAGGAGCGAAAGCGUGGGGAGCGAACAGG